UACGUAGGGGGCAAGCGUUGUCCGGAUUUAUUGGGCGUAAAGAGCGUGUAGGCGGCCAGGUAGGUCUGCUGUGAAAACUCGAGGCUUAACCUCGAGAUGUCAUCGGAAACCAUUUGGCUAGAGUCCGGAAGAGGAAAGUGGAAUUCCUGGUGUAGCGGUGAAAUGCGCAGAUAUCAGGAAGAACACCCGUGGCGAAGGCGGUUCUCUGGGACGGUACUGACGCUGAGACGCGAAAGCGUGGGGAGCGAACAGG
rnacentral:rRNA from 1 species